rnacentral:rRNA from 1 species
UACGUAGGGUGCAGGCGUUAAUCGGAAUUACUGGGCGUAAAGCGUGCGCAGGCGGUUUGCUAAGACAGGUGUGAAAUCCCCAGGCUUAACCUGGGAACUGCGCUUGUUACUGGCAGGCUUGAGUGUGGCAGAGGGGGGUGGAAUUCCACGUGUAGCAGUGAAAUGCGUAGAGAUGUGGAGGAACACCGAUGGCGAAGGCAGCCCCCUGGGCUAACACUGACGCUCAUGCACGAAAGCGUGGGGAGCAAACAGG